rnacentral:tRNA from 3 species
GGUUUUAUAGUCAAAUUAUGAUAUUAGACUGCAAUUCUGAAGUUGUAUUUAAAUACUAGAGCCU